rnacentral:rRNA from 1 species
UACGUAGGGGGCGAGCGUUGUCCGGAAUUAUUGGGCGUAAAGAGCGUGUAGGCGGUUCGGUAAGUCUGCCGUGAAAACCUGGGGCUCAACCCCGGGCGUGCGGUGGAUACUGCCGGGCUAGAGGGUGGUAGAGGCGAGUGGAAUUCCCGGUGUAGCGGUGAAAUGCGUAGAUAUCUGGAGGAACACCGGUGGUGAAGGCGGCAUUCUGGACCGAUAUUGACGCUGAGGAGCGAAAGCCAGGGGAGCAAACGGG